UUUUUUUUCGUUUUCAAGAGGCACGGCCAUGCCUCUCGCGGAAGCAAAAGCAUGGCUCUCACGAAAGCAAAAAACACGAUUUUUCGUGCAAAAAAUGGAAAAUAUUUUUGAUGAGGCACGGACUACCAAGAUACUAAUUCGUGCGUGUAGAUGGCCCGAUCUUUCACGACGAUACUCAAUCAACACCUCGUCUCCCUGUUCCUCCUCGUAACCUCCAAGAACAAUUUUCACCUGUGUACAAAAAUACACAAACGAAAAUAAUGACCCCCUCGGAUCAGCACGUAGGCGUCGAUGUGAUGAUCAACCCUCCGUUGCUAGUAAAUUUUCACGAUGGAAAAAUCACAGAUAAUACACAAGAUAUGGUCGCCCGUAACUCGGACGUUUUUCUAUAUAUCUCAUACCCGGAAUAAAACUCAAAACUCCCCUCCUUCACAUCGGCCGAAGCCAGCCUUUAUAUGGCUCACGCUGCAACCAGCUCGGCCUAUCUCUAAGGAAGAAAAAAUACAAACGUGAUCUGGUAUAUAACUAACCUCAAGUGCACUACCUAACAAAAUAUAUCUACUCCUACCUGCUAGCUUAAAAAGGUAACAACCACGUGAAGGAAGGAAAUGGCGUGAUUAAAUCCAUGCAGACCUAAACGUGUAGCACUAUGGUGCCAAUCCUAUUCCAUCCAGGAGGUGUACGAAAAAUUAGGAUGCACCUUGGCACGUACGGGUUCCUCCAUAACCUCAGGUUUCUUGCCGUGAUGAGCAUAUACUUCUUGGAAAGGAUCUAACUUCUUUUUAUUUAUCAAACCAAAUUGACAUAUUGGCUUUAUGUAUGGGCGUGGCUCACAAGGCUUCUGCUGAUUGUUUUUCUCUCUAUAAAUCAAUCCUGAUUCUCUCAUAUUGCCUUGUGCAGGUGCACGUACAAGACUCGUAACACAUCCAUGCAUCAAUUUAUAGUCCAAAUAACCAGCUUGAUGUGCGCUCAUCUUCGCAGCACCAAUACCUGGUUCGCAUAUCAUACGUUUCUUGCCAUCUUUGCCAGUGUGCAAUAUAUUUGGACAAUUCAUAAUUUUACCAGUAUCCUUGAUUAGACUCUCCUCGUUCGACUCAGUUGGUUUGAGUUUAGUAGCAUCCGCGCUGGAUAAUAUUCUAGACGAUGUAGUGUUCAUAUCAUCAUCCCUCCCUUGAAACAAAACCGUCCACAGUUUUGAGCCAUCUUUCAAAACUUCCUUUUUUGGAAGCUUCAUGCUUAUAGCGAUCACAUUGUCCGGCAUUGGUUUUAGCACGUGUCGUCUACCAUCAUGCUUGAAUGUAUAUAGUUUGAUUUACCGGCAUGCACUGCAUCACGAUCAAACUGCCAUGGUCUUCCCAAUAACAACUGACACACGUCCAUCGACACGACAUCAUAAUCCACCUUAUCAAUAUAAUCUCCAACCGCAAAUGUCACACGUACCUUAUGUUUAAUCUUUAAUUUCCCAGAAUUAUAUAGCCAUCCCACGUGGUGCGGUUGCGGGUGCCGCCACAUGGAUAAACCCAAUUUUUGCACAAGAUCUUUGCUAAUGGCAUUAGUAAAACUGCCACCAUCAAUUAUCAUCUUACAUGCACGGUCCUUAAUCAUGCACUUUGUUUUAAAAACACUCCAUCGCUGCCCCUUUGCACCACUAUCAUCUUGUACCUUCUCCACCGAAAGAUUCAACCCCUCUGUUGGUGCAUCAACUUCUUCCUUUCUUUCUUCCUGAUGUUCUUCUCUUUUUAGCAAACGAUUUUUCCAAUCUGCCCUGAACACAUCCGUUGGCAUGGGAACAAAACAAAUUUGUUGGCCCUUCCAUGAUAGAGAGUAACUAUUUUUCUUGCAAUUCCGAAUAGCUCCAACACGUUUGCACCAUGAAUUACCAAGUAGCAGAUGGCAUGACACCAUGGACACAGGACAAACAUGAAAGAAUUCCACACAACAAUAUUUUCCCAUAUCAAAAAAUAGCAAAAUCCGAUGCGUAAUUUUGAUUUCACCUUUGAACCACUCCAGCGUGUACGGUCUUCGAAGAGGUGCCAUCUUCAGCCCCAAUUUUUCCACCACCUCGAUGCUCACCAUAUUGACCGCAGAACCUUCAUCGAUCGUCAAAUUAACACGCCGUUCCUUCACGACGCAACGAGUGUGAAAAAGAACGACCUCGCCGAUGCCUUCCUCCUCCAUCAAUAUGUUCUUGCUCAACGCCUUGAUGGUCGGCUCCCCAGACGACAUUGCCAAUUGAUCGCCGUGACCAACCUUAGCUCUGAAUACCACUUGAUGAGGCACGGACUACCAAGAUGCUAAUUCGUGCGUGUAGAUGGCCCGAUCUUUCACGACGAUACUCGGUCAACACCUCGUCUCCCUGUUCCUCCUCGUAACCUCCAAGAACAAUUUUCACCUGUGUACAAAAAUACACAAACGAAAAUAAUGACCCCCUCGGAUCAGCACGUAGGCGUCGAUGUGAUGAUCAACCCUCCGUUGCUAGUAAAUUUUCACGAUGGAAAAAUCACAGAUAAUACACAAGAUAUGGUCGCCCGUAACUCGGACGUUUUUCUGUAUAUCUCAUACCCGGAAUAAAACUCAAAACUCCCCUCCUUCACAUCGGCCGAAGCCAGCCUUUAUAUGGCUCACGCUGCAACCAGCUCGGCCUAUCUCUAAGGAAGAAAAAAUACAAACGUGAUCUGGUAUAUAACUAACCUCAAGUGCACUACCUAACAAAAUAUAUCUACUCCUACCUGCUAGCUUAAAAAGGUAACAACCACGUGAAGGAAGGAAAUGGCGUGAUUAAAUCCAUGCAGACCUAAACGUGUAGCACUAUGGUGCCAAUCCUAAUCCAUCCAGGAGGUGUACGAAAAUUAGGAUGCACCUUGGCACGUACGGGUUCCUCCAUAACCUCAGGUUUCUUGCCGUGAUGAGCAUAUACUUCUUGGAAAGGAUCUAACUUAUUUUUAUUUAUCAAACCAAAUUAACAUAUUGGCUUUAUGUAUGGGCGUGGCUCACAAGGCUUCUGCUGAUUAUUUUUCUCUCUAUAAAUCAAUCCUGAUUCUCUCAUAUUGCCUUGUGCAGGUGCACGUACAAGACUCGUAACACAUCCAUGCAUCAAUUUAUAGUCCAAAUAACCAGCUUGAUGUGCGCCCAUCUUCGCAGCACCAAUACCUGGUCCGCAUAUCAUACGUUUCUUGCCAUCUUUGCCAGUGUGCAAUAUAUUUGGACAAUUCAUAAUUUUACCAGCAUCCUUGAUUAGACUCUCCUCGCUCGACUCAGUUGGUUCGAGUUUAGUAGCAUCCGCACUGGAUAAUAUUCUAGACGUUGUAGUGUUCAUAUCAAUUUUUUGUUGAAAAGCUAGAAAAUACCGUGAAAACCGAAAAGUCAAAAUAACGGGAAAAAAUCAUCUAAAAAGCCGAAAACGUGUACGGGGAAAUAAAAUAAUUCGGAGAGAGCACCUAGAAAGCGACAUGUGGCGGCGGCUAAGAGCGCGCCAAGUGAAACGCUCUCAGCUCACCCCAAGUGAUCGUUGGGAGGCUCCCGAAGAAGCACUAGCCAACUUGUUGCUCUCGACGAAUAGGAUUUUCCAUAAAUCUCGCCAUUCCCUGCAGUAGAUGAUAACCAAAUGAACCAGCCAAAUAUGGGUUCCCUUUGUGAGCGGUUUUAGGAGGCUUCUAUGACUGGUUCGCAUAUAAGCUUCUGUGUGGGUUUAUUUGAUUUUGUUUUUGUCGGUUUAUCUUUUGGUUUUUGGUUUUCUGGGUCCCCUUAUUGGUUGUAUUCACGUGUUUAUUAUUAUUUGCGAUUUUCCUUUUUAUUUUUCUUUCUUUUUUGCAGUAUAUGUCUACAUUUUUCAAGACACACUCUACAUUUUUGUAUACAUUUGGAACAGUUGUUUGAUACAUGUUGAAACAUUCUUUUAAAUACAUGAUGAAUUUUUUUCUAAAAUAAUAUUUUGAAUAUUUUUUAAUGCGUGCUAUUUUUUUCCGAUACAUGUUUUUUAAUGAUAUGAAACAUUUAGUUCAAACUACAUGAACAUAUUUUACACUGUAUAAUAUAUUUUAAUCCCACUUACAUAUUUUUGAAAACAUAAAUUUUAAUAAAAUGUCACAUACAUUUUUUAAUGGUACUAAAAGAUUUACUUGAAUUACGAGGCCAUUUUUUGGCAUUGUACAAAGAUUAUAAAAAAAUCACAAACAUAUUUUUGAAAUGUGUGAAAAAAUUAAAUGCGAUGAACAUUUUCUAAAGUUUGCGUUAACCUUUUAAAAAUGCUCAAAGAGUGAUUUUUUAAUUUAAAUAUAAUAAUUUUGUUUUUCAAUAAACAAAAAUAAAAAGGAACCAACACUCAUCCCAUGCUGGGCCGACCCAUUGAGGUAGAAGUAGAGGCGAGUGUGUUCGUUGUUCUUGCACGAAGCUCAAGAAAAUCAAGAAGAAAUCGUGUGACGCCAAACUAGAUCGGCGGCCCUUGACUACGCCCAGCGCGUCACAACAAACUAUACGAGGCUAAUCAUCAUAGGAGGCCUCAAUAUUUAGGCCCAACAUGCUAUGAAUUAACCGUUCUAAUAAUAUACUUAGAACAAAUAAAAUAAAAGGGACGACGCUACACGUCGGUCAACCGAAAACUGGAAAAAAUAUGUCUGUAUUAAUGUGGAAUAUCUUGCCUAAUACAGUAUUAACUUAAAUUGCACAUACACAAUUAUGAGUUAUUUCAAGUGUACCAGAGCAUUUUACUCAUUCUAAAGAACACUGUUGAGUCAUUCACAUAUCCCAUGGAAAUUUGCUGUGUGUUUUGAGUUGUCUCGUUAUGAACCAAUUUAUGGCUUCCCCACCACAAGUACCAGGCUGAUAUGGCAGUUAUUUCACGCACAUUUUGAUUGCCCAUAAUACAUAACUCAUGAUUUGGCAUUGCAAGUAAAUAUUUCAAAAGUGCCUCACCCACAUAAUCUACUUCAAUAAUAUCAUCCAUCCCUAGCCUUCUCCACACUUAUUUUGCCUUGUUGCAUAGAAACAACAAAUGCUUUGUGCCUUCUGGUCCAGAGGAGCAGACAAGGCAAUUGGGUGGAACUUUCACAUGUCCAUUGGCUAGUUUAACACGACACAGAAGAGUGUCAUGAAGCGUAGGCCAAAUAAAUAUUUUAACCUUUAACGGGCAAGAGGGUUUCCAAAUCCUACACUAUGUAGGAUUAACCGUGGUACGUCUCAUCCCAUUGGUAUGCCGCAACUUGUUUCCGUAUUGGUGAUCCCAUUCCACAAAAUAAGCAGACCAAACCGAAAACGUACCAUUUUUUGUGAAAUUCCUAGCCACGAAAUCUGGCAUAUCAUGUUGCGAGAUAGGGAUCGCGAGUACUCAUUGAACAUCAAUAGGUCAUAGGGUCUAUGUGAGAAGAUCUUCGUCCCAAAUAUUAAGAACAGGAUCAAUCAAAUCUACUACCUUACAUAGCAAUUGACAUCCCUUACGAGCCAAAUCUCUAUCAAAACUUAGAGCUAAAGACCCCUGCACAAAUGCUAUAUGUAACAAAUUAAUUUUUUUAUUCCUCAAACGUAUGAGAAGCGCUUCUAGAUUGGAUACGACGCCGAGGGGAGUACAAUCACUUCCCCACCUUGUUUGUUCUAGGGUUCCCAACCUUCUUUAUUUGUAUGUAGUGCUAUUUCCCUUGGAUUAUUUUGUGUGUAUUUAGUUGCGCUAUCGUUACAUAAUCGCACACGUGUGUUAACGGAGUCUGACCUUAAUAAAGAUUUUGGAGAAAGUCCUUUCUAAUUGUCUAUGUGUAUAAUACUCUUUUCAUAUGGUUCGUUUAUGAUCAUCUUUUGCUCAAAACGAAACUGUGGUACAUUUUUUUCUUCGUGAUAACCUGGUGUGCAUCAUAACCUGUUGCAGUUUUUUUAAGUGUGCAAGUUGCACCUUAAACUUUACCAACAAAAGACGGUGCAGCUUGAAAUGAUCCGCCCAGGAAAUGGCGGAAAAUUUUCAAUUUCAUUACAAACUGCCCACAAACGCGCUCUCAAUGCCUCUUUGUUUCGAAAAAUAAACUUGAAUCUAGAGGGUGUAUCCUUCAUAUGUUAUUUUCAUUUAUUUUUCUGGCCAGCCGGGGGGUGGGGGUAAUAUAUUCUGGGUUGUUUAAUUUGUUAGUUGUUUUUAGAAUUCAUAAACGCAUUUUGAUCUUCACAGGGAUUAUUGUAUUGUACUAACAACUUUGCACACCUAGCUUCUUUUUUCUUAUAUAGCAUUGAAUUAUUGCGGUCUUGUAUUGCCUAGUGUUGACUUAAUCAAAUGGCACUAUGACAGUGACCCAACAUGACAAUCAUUCACAUAUCGGUUAAAGAAGGUUGGCACAAGAAUUUCCAUGGGAAUUGUUUGUGUGUCUUACUUGAGAUGACGGCUGGAGUUUGAUUGAUUCAACUGAAUAAAAACAGGGGGGGCUUUGAAAUGUUGAUCCAUUCUGCCAGUGCGCUGGCAAAAGAAAAAUACAACUGAAGAAAACUUAUCCUGCUCACCAAGCUGCUCUUUAAAAUGUGGUCUUUAGCAAAGUCUUCACUUCGUUUCUCUCUACAUUUUCUUCUAAAAAUCAAUGCUCUUGCUACUAUAUAGUUUAUUCUUGUAGGUUUAUAGUUUAUACUACUACAAAUAUAUUAUAUUUGAAAGGAAAAUGUUUAUUUAGCACGGUUCCCAAUGUUUCCGAUGCUUAAUUGACCAGCUUAAAAAACAGAAGAAAAAAAGUGUGACCUUGAGUGAAAAGGACAGGUGAAUCAACAUCCUGGCCGUCCAUCAAAUGGGUGGCUGUGAUCGUCACCAGCCUAGUUGACUUUGCUAAAUUUUAUUCUGGUAGUGCUCCACCUCUCACUCUCGGCCUGAAUACUAUACUCGCGCCAAUUACUUCCUGCACAAGUGAAGGUCCCAACGAGACUAACAGUGUCGCAUAUGCUCUGGUCCAUCCCUGUAUAAAGUCGCCGCGGGAUCCAGCAGAAACCUUUUCCUGCUCCGGCCGCCAUUGCCGCGACCUUGCUCACCUUGCGCAAGCUUCUGCAUGUGCUUGCAUGGUGAAACUCUUCCCCACCUUGUCCAUCUCUUGAUGUUCAUCCCAAUCUAGACUAGAGCUCCUUGAUUCCAUUGCACUACCAAGGUUCUUGGGUUCUUUGUUUGUCCAUGGAGGGGGUGGAGGAGGCCAACCGGGCGGCGGUCGUGAGCUGCAAGAGGCUGGUCGCGCGCCUCUCGCUGUCUGCCGGCGACCCGUUCCGGCUCGCCGCCGUCGCGGCCGAGACCGAGGAGGCCGUGUCCCGGUUCAGCAAGGUGGUUAACAUCCUCGGCAAUAGGGUUGGCCAUGCGAGGGCGAGGGUCGGCCGGAGGAGCUCGCCGGCGGGCGACCCGAUUGCGAGGUGCCUCCUCGAGUACCACCCUCCCCCGCCGGUGCCGUACUGCCCACCUGCCAGUGCCCCCCAACUCCAUGGGAGUAGCAGUAGCACUCCUGCGCCGCCGACGCCGCUGAAGCAGAUGGCGGUGCCGGUGGCGGCAGCGGCGGCUCCUUGUGCCGCCGGCAACGGCAAGGUCGUUGCACCGGCGGCCAAGGGUGCUGCGGACAGGGACAUGUUCUUCCAGACGCCGCUCCUGGAUUUGAGUGCGUGCAGCAGCGUUACUCCCGCCUCCAUUGCCACCGGGCAGAUCAACGGCUCGAGAGUUUCCGCAGCUCCAGCGGCCAAGGCUACAGACAGGGACAUGUUCUUCCAGACGCCGCUCCUAGAUUUGAGUGGGUGCAGCGUUACUCCCGCCUCCAUGCCGCCGUGCAGAUCAACGGCUCGAGAGUUUCCGCAGGUCCGGCGGCCAAUCCUCCUACUCCCCCUCCACCUCCUCCUCAAAUCCAUUUCCACCAUCAGAUUCCGCAGCAGCAGCAGCAGCAGCCGGCGCCGCCGCAGAAGAGGAUGCUCGAGCAGCAGCAGAGGCCGGCCAGCAGCGACAACAAGAGGUUCCACUUCGAGCCGAAGCCGGCGAGCGAGAAGCCGUUCCACAUCGAGAUCCCGGCGGCAAGGAGCGGCAAGGAGCCGGAGGUGAUCACCUUCAGCUUCGACAACUCGGUGUGCACCUCGUCGGCGGCCACCUCCUUCUUCACCAACAUGAGCAGCCAGCUGAUCAGCAUGUCGGAGACCUCCGCCUGCGCGCCGGCGUCCAGGAAGGCGGCGCACAAAGCCGACGACGACGGCAAAUGCCACUGCCCGAAGAAAAAGUCGGUGCCGGUCGCAUACGCCAUUGAUUUAUUGCACUCUGCCGAUUGCGUGCGCCUUUACUUACUUACAGUCGUGUGAUUGGUUUGGUUGCAGGAAGCCGAGGGAGAAGAGGGUGGUGAGGAUGCCGGCGGUGAGCGACAAGGUGGCCGAUAUACCUUCGGACAGCUACUCGUGGAGGAAGUACGGGCAGAAACCCAUCAAAGGCUCUCCACACCCAAGGUACUCCAAUGGCCAAUCUUGGUUAAUUACUCUAUCUCUGUCUCUCUCAUGUUCAUUAUCAAGUAUUAUCCUUGAAUCGAAUGAAACAAACUUAUUACUAGAAAUGUCAGUAAGAAUUUGUGGACAUGCACCAUAGCCGUGUCGCAUUCAUUGGGCGUGCAAGCAUGCAUUUGGUGCUGAGUGAGACAUUACAAUAGGAUUCAGGCGGGUAUGAAGUAUGAACUUGUUGUUGAUUAAUUGCAGGGGAUACUACCGGUGCAGCAGCAUCAAGGACUGCCCGGCGAGGAAGCACGUGGAGCGGUGUCGCGGCGACGCCGGGAUGCUCAUCGUCACCUACGAGAACGACCACAACCACGCGCAGCCGCUCGACCUCGCCACGCUCACCGCCAACUCCGAAGUCUGACCGAGGCUGCCGGUGCCGGAAGAACUCUGAAUUUUUAUGCCAUGGAUGGAGCAUGCCAUUCAGCCUGACCAAAUCUGAAUGCAAGUGAAAAUUGUAUGAGGAAGGCGAAGAUUUCGCCUACGUCUUUGGCAAUGUAUAGUGAGCACUUGAUUGUCCUUUUGGAUUGUAUCCUGUCGAAAAAUCGCUCCGCACAAAUGCUUGUUAAAUUUCCUUGUAGAAUUAGUACUAGCUUUGCUUGUUUUCUUUUUAGUGUAACUUUGCUUGUUUAACCACGGUGCAGAAAUCACAAUUCAUGGUAUUGUCCAGCUUGUCACAUACGUGUGACCUAAUGUGCAGAAAUCACAUGUUGAAAGCUUUUUUGAGCUUGACACAUGACAUGCCAUCUUUCCUAAUGUCAGAAACUAAGAGCAUCUCCAACAGCCGGCUAAGCGCCGCGCGCAAAAAAACAGUUUGCCGCGCGCGCUUCGGCCUGUUUAGCGCGGCCGUCAGUGCUGGCUCCAGCAGCCGCGCUAUACUGCAGCGCGCGCGCCGCUCCAGCAGCGCGCAAAAAUACAGCGUGUGCGACUCGCCGGCAGCGCGCGUGACUCGCCGGACAUGUAUGAUAUUUUGGACACAAAAUGAGUUUGAAACAUUCAUCAAAAUACAAUGAACAUAAGAAAUUUGACACAAACAAGUUGAUGAAUAAAAGUUCAUGCCCACAAGUUCAAAAUCAUGCCCACAAGUUUAUCCAACCAAGUUCAAAUGCAAACUAAAAAUUCAAGACAUAAUAAAUGAAAGACAUAUCAAUCAUCUUCCUCGUCUUCGUCCUCAUCUUCCGAAGACGAUUCUUCCGCCUCCGAAGAUGAAUCUUCCUCCCUACCCUCAUCACGCAUCGCAUCACGUGAAGCUCCGACGGUGUUGGCAAGAUCUUCAACGGCAUCUUCAUGGAAAUGUGUGUGAGGAGGCACAUCGAAAGACAUUUCACCCAUGGCCGGAGGUGCACCCAUGCCUCCCAUAAGAGAAGCAAAACUCAUGCCUCCCAUGGCGGUCAUAGCGUCAGAGGGUGCUCCAAAGCCACCCAUGCCUCCCAUGGCGGCCGGAGGUGUACCCAUGCCUCCCAUGGCUCCCAAGCCAUCCAUGCCUCUCAUGGCGCCAAGGCCACCGCCACCCAUGCCGCCAAGGCCACCGCUACCCAUGCCGCCAAGGCCACCGCCACCCAUUGUGCGGAUCAUGGCUCUUUUUUGGAUCAAGACUUCUUCACGGGCAAGGUUGACAUAUUCCUUUUGCGCACCAUUGAACAAAGAUGUGUCCAAGAAGAACAAGUGCUUCUCCCAUUCCAACAACCUAGAUCGCUCCUCCAUGCCCACCUUCCUCUCUUCCAAUGCCACUUUCCUCUCCUCGGCGGCCACCCUCCUCUCCUCGGCCGCGGCAUCUUGGUUCCUUGCCAUUUUCCUCAUCUCCUUGGCUUCUUUUCUUGCCUUCACAAUAGCUUCCAUAGCAUUUUUGAGCUCAUCAUCUCCUUUCCUCUUCUUUUUUUCGGUUUUGUCUUUCUUGCACACAUCUGGUCGUUUUGGCUUCGAGUAUGAAACCGAGUUGGGUGUGGGGCUUCUCUUGCCGUCAUCACUUGAUGCAUCAUCCUCCUCAUCAUCAUCAUCCAACUCAAUUCUACGCUUGCGUUUGUUGCUCAAAUGCAAAUCAUCCAAACCAUCACGCUUCUUCCAUUUCUCAUCAUCCUUUAACACUUCAUAGCAAUGAGGCAAGGUAAAGACCCUUCCUUUCUUGAUCUUCCCCUUCUUGGUUGUCCUCGUCUCUUCUUUGAACAAGUUUUGUGCAAUGUUGAACUACAAGAAAAACAGAACAAGUUAGCAGUUCGGACACCAAAAACAAGUAUGAGAUGAACAUAUAUGAGAUGUCACUUACUCUAUCAUCCUCAUUUGUGCCACUUGGGUUAAUCUUGUCAACUGCCUUUUAUGCGGCCGCCCACUUUUGACAAUCCGAGUUGAUUGUGAACCAUCGGGACCGAAGUGAUCUCUCGGAGCGGUCAAUUCCAUUCACGUUGUGAUCAUCAAAGUAUUUUUUUUCAUUCGCCCCCAAUACGCAUCUCUACUUUGAUCACCUCCAAUGGAUGGAUCCCUCGACACUUGCAAAUAAGUAUUGCAUAGUAACUUGUCAUCGUUGGUGCUGUAAUUGCCCGCUCUUCCUUUCGGCGCGUCGACAAUGCCCUCACCCUCCUCGUCCACCUUAAACUCAUGGUCUUCCAAAUGGAUGUCAUUGGUUUGAGACCAAUGCGAAUUGUUGGACCCAACACCCAUAGUUGACAUGUAUGCAUCAUCGUUGAGACUACAAAGUUUUUUGAACAAUGCAAAUAAGCUAUCUAUAUGUGAUGAUGCAUUGAAAAAAUAACAAGAAAAUAAAAGUUGAAAUUUUUUUCACCUUGGGGGCAUUUCGUCGAACACGUGGUGCGCGUCGGCGGCCGGCUCAACGAGUGAGCUCGCCGGCGCUUCAGUAGCCGCCGCGGCCGUCGAACGCCCUGCAAGCUUCUUUUCCCUCGCCUUCGUGCUGCCGGAGCCGUCCGCCGCCUUGUUCUUCUUCGCUGAAGUUUUGCCCUUCUUCGGCCGCGCCGCAUUGGGGAGCUUCGACGGUGCGGCGGCGGCAUGGGACGGCGCCGGCGCGACACCACCCGUCGCCGUGGUCAUCUGCGGCGGCAAGAAGAGGUUGCGUGCGAGGCCGACGCUCGGCGGAGCUCCGGCGGUGGCGACGCCAACGCUCCCCGUGCUAGGGUUUCCGGCGACGGCGGGGGGGAGGGGGGUCGCGGCUGUAAAGCGGUGUGAGUGGGGUGCCGGUGUGCGCGUCCAUGGCUGGCAAGGCGCCAGCGCAGGCGCGCGCGGGGCGUAGGAGGAGGAGAGGAGAGAGUGCGGCACGAGCGCUCGAGUGUGCCGCGCGCGGAAGCCGGCGCCCGAAAUACACCGCGCGGGAUAGUGCUUCUGACCGCGCGCCCAACUCGUUAUAGGGCGCGCGCCGUUUUUGCGCGCCCGCUGGAGCGACCCGCCGCGUUGCGCGCGCGCUAAAACGGCCUAAUUUGCGGCACGGCGCUAGUUUAGCGCGGCUGUUGGAGAUGCUCUAAAGAUUGCACAUAUUAUCAUCACAGAAACUAAAAGCUCAUCUGACAAGAGCUAUUGAGAAUUUCAGAUGCAGUUAUUCGACUAACUAACGUGAUGUUAAGCGUAUCUUACGGAGUUUAAUUGUGCGCAUCAACGACAACGCACGCACGCUCGAGAGAUCAAGCCAAUAAAUGGGAUGAUUGCUUCAGAUAUAUUCCAAAAACUGUCAUGAACCAACCAGCUAGAUAGAUCAUCAUGAUUUAUAUGUACGUACCGGCCUGCCGAUCUUCCAAAAUCCAGUCCAGUGGGAUGGCGAUCUACCUGUUAAGCCGCUGCUUAAGCUAAGCCUAAGCCAACUGUAAACCACCCCAACAAGUGGCUGCAAAACAUUGACCAAAACCUAGUUUAAUCCACGCCUGGUGUCUCUCGCCCUCUGCAGCUGAAGCAUGCGGGGUGCUAAUCUAUUCUGGAACCACAUGAGGCGGAAUCAAGAGAAUCAUGGUGGCAUUAAUGCGAGCCACCCCCACGAUUAGCGGCGCUAAGCAUGUGCCGCAACUGUAUGUCUGUCAGGGGGGAGGAGAUGAGUGGGUGGAGCUGGCCAACGGUUAUGUCCACCUGGCUUUGCCCUAUUAUUAUCACAAGUUUUUACUAAUUGAGACGCUCGAUUAUUUGGGGAGUGGCAUGCGUGCGCAUCAGAUAUCUCAAACUUAUGAUGAUAAUGAAAAUGGAUGUGGUUGUUAUCUCUAUAUCCGGAAUUGAGAUCAUGAAAUCGGAGAUAGGAUCAUGUGCCUACGGUAUGUCUUCUCUGUAGACAGAUGGCCCAACAAAAAGAGAUGAGACGAAUGAUGUAUUUCAUUUUAGGAUGAUAUAUGCCGGAUUUUAGAUGGGCGGAGACCCCCCCUUCACCUUUCCUUUUUAACAUAACUGCCAACUGCUUGCAGCAAAUGAUUCAGUUAGCCCGGCCAUGUGGUCAGAUUGUGGGCCUGAUACCCCACCAACAAGGAUUCCAGUUGUCAUUUUGCAAUAUGUUGAUGAUAUUAUCCUGUUCAUGUUCAUACAGGAUGAUCUGGAUAGUGCUAGGAACCUCAAAUUGUUGUUGUACUUCUUUGACCAGAUGUCAGGUUCGAAAAUCAAUUUUCAAGAACAAUGGAGUCCUUGAUGGUGUGAUGAUAAAAGGCAUAGUUAUGAUGACCAAUUUAAGUGCAAACUAGGGGCCUGGCCUAUCAAAAAUAUCUAGGGGUGUUCCUGCUUGUGGGAGUAGACUACAUGUAUACCUGGCCAUACCUCGGGCCGGGCCUAGCCAAGCCCGACGCAAAAAACCCAGGCCCGAGCCCGGCCUGGCACGGCCAUCAAGCUUGUUUUCUGUUCCUGAGCCCGGCCCGAAGACGUAAAAGCCCGUCGGGCUUCGGGCCGGCCCGGCCCGACCUUUAGAAAAACGCAAAAAAGACGGGGCCAGGCCUGGCCUUCGGGCUCAAAAUCUAGGCCCGAGCCCGGCCCGGGGACAACGCCGGACCGGGCCGGGCUUCCCAUGGCCAGGUAUAACUACAUGUUGCUGAAGAGAACGGAGGGCUGGUAAGCUGGAAACAUGUCCCUUGGUGCCAAGGUGAUUCCCUAAGACAAAUAUAGGGAGGAUGGAAAAUUCUAGUGGAUGCCACUGGGUAUUUGUAGGCAAAAGAAGAAAGGAGGGCUGGGUAUCUACGCCAUGCUAGGUUGAUUUGAUGAAACUCAAACAUAUAUCUAUGGUACAACUGCUGGUGUGGAGAAACCUCUUUUGAUCAAUUCCCUGGGCUUUUUGAAAUUAUGAAUAGAAAAUUUUGGACUGAUGACCCUAACUGCUGCUCUAUGCUGAAAAUGAUAGUUUUGCCCGACUCAUCCAAAGAUCAUGAAGCGGAGCUACUGUGUCUCUUGAUCAUGCCAGAUUCACGGUUUGUCAAGAGAAUUGUUUGGACUGCCUAGUCAGACGACGCGCCUGUGUAAACACAUCCUACAGCUUAACCAUUUUAUCAUCCAAAGGACAAUUCACAACCUGAUGACUAAAACAAUACUCUACUUAGACGCAAAGCAAUCUGAUCAAAAUUUAUAAGAGCACACAAUUCAGAUCAUAUGAUAACUGCCAAAGGAUUAGAAGAGCACACAAAUCAGAUCAUAUGAGAACUGCGAAAGGGAGAUAAACAUGUUUGAUCUUCCUUACGAUAACUUCAAAAUCUGGAACAGGAUUAAGUUCAGGGUUCAAAGGGUGCUGCUCCACCACUAGACUGACAGUCGGUAUAUCAGGCACUACAUUUGACUACGAUAAGAACACUGGAUUCCAGACACCACAGACAAUUUCCCUGACCAUAUUCUCACUUGAGAGGAAUGAACCUCGACGAGUGGGUAGCACCGAUACCAGGCCUCCCGUGCUUCACCGGCUUGUACGACAGGGAGAACUCUGCCAGGUAGUGCCCGAUCAUCUCCGGCUUGAUCUCCACCUGGUUGAAGCACUUGCCAUUGUAGAUGCCCACG
rnacentral:lncRNA from 1 species